CCACAAGAAAGCAUACCACUUCUUCCAAAGAGAAAAACUUAUGUGCACUAGUUUCUUUGGGGGAACUAAAUAAUGGAAUAAGGACGAUCUUCCAUUGCAGUUUUUAUAUUCAUAUGGCAGAUUCUACAUCUAUCUUGCUUUAAAAAGAAAAAAAAGUAUGGUCUAAAACCCAAUGUGGGAGGGAAAGGUUCAGUGUUGAGAUUUGAAACCAUGUCUCCCAGAGCACAGAGAAAGCCUGUAUAUGGCCCUUUUUAAAGAUUCCUGAGGUGUGCCAGGUCUCCUGCCCUACUCAGCAUUUUCUCAGCUGCGGCCCAGACCUUGAGCUCAGUGCUUUCAUAUGGACGGGAUGAUGGGUUGAUGCAUCUAGAUAGGGGCUCCAGGGCUCCUUGCAGAGUAAAUUCUCCAUAAAUAAUCUCAGAAGGAUUAGAGGAGCUUCUACAAGAUCAAAGGUCAUGUCUUAGUUGUUUCGAAAGCUCUUAUCGAAGAUAGUGGUGAUAAGACGCUGGGAAAAGACUAGAAAUGAGUCUGACUCGUAAGUGAAGUUCCCAUGGCGUGGCAUAGCCAAGAGAGUCCUGGACGCUUAAGACAGACAGACAGACAAUCUCCUCAGCUUCCUGCCCAAAUAGGAUCAACAGAGCCGCUCCCACUCCCAGCAAGCCCUGAGGGCGAAACCACGUGGUGUGAACGUGCUACCUGCAGAUGGUUUGCACAUGUUCAUUCUCCAUGUCUCUUCCAACUUGGUGUUUCCUUUAGUAUUUACGAACUUAUUAUGAAGACAUCUGACAGGCUUAUCCCCACAGGUGCCUAGCACUGCCUUCCUCAUGCCUAAUGAUCUGUGCUUCGGGGGCCCCAGGCAGCAGGCAGACAGCAGGAUUGAAAGUGAUCUGCCUCACUCAUCCCAGAAUCCUGUCACUGCACAAAGUGUGGCUUGUCUGAACGGGGCCUUGUCCACCGUGACAAUGUGGGCCAGACUCUGGAUCGGGCCAACCAGAAGUGCUCUGGACAGUGGAGGUGGAGAAAAAUCGUUAUUCAAAGGAGACUUCUCACCCAGCCACUAGGGCUCAGUGGUUUAGUGUCAACCUUGGAACCAGAGGGAGAGAGAGAGAGAAACCUCAAUGAUGAGAGAGAAUCAUUGAUCAGCUGCCUCCUGCACACCCCAUACUGGGGAUCGAGCCCACAACCAGGGCAUAUGCCCUGACCAGGAACUGAACUGGCGACUUCUCGGUGCCCAGGACAAUCAACGCUCAGCCAACUGAGCCACACUGGCCAGGGCUCUUUCGUUGGUUUUCAUGAGAACUCACAGGGAGGCAGAACUCCACAGCUACAAGCCACAACAGGUCCCCCUGCUAUCUUCCAGGCCACAGAGGGAGCUGGAGGAGGGAGCAAAAGCAGGCCCAGGUGGGGCUGGGUUGGGGUGGGGGGCUCAGGUGGGAGUUGGGCCAACACUGGCCAAACAUUCAGGUGCCUUUUCUUAAAUCAGAUGCUAUCUCCCUGGCUGGGCAUCACUGUCCCAGCACUUCUCCCUGACAGGCUUCUCUCUGAGCUGCCUGUAUCGCUCCUGCCAGCCUGUGUUCACCGUGGAGACGGCGAGAGCCUGCCUGGCACCUCCUCUGCUGUCCUAACUUUAUAAGUCGCCAUUCUCUCUUCCUUCCUGCCGCCUAAGUAACAUAAGAAAUGAGGAUCAAGGGAAGCUGUUUCCUGGUGAACCUGCAUCUAGGGCAGUGGUUCUCAACCUUCCUAAUGCCGCGACCCUUUAAUACAGUUCCUCAUGUUGUGGUGACCCCCAACCAUAAAAUUAUUUUCGUUGCUACUUCAUAACUGUAAUUUUGCUACUGUUAUGAAUCGUAAUGUAAAUAUCUGAUGUAUUUAGGCGACCCCUGUGAAAGGGUCGUUCGACCCCCAAAGGGGUCCCGACCCACAGGUUGAGAACCGCUGAUCUAGGAUAAUAAAACCAGGUACCAUCAUCAAACACGGAAGAAUGAAAUGUCCUUAGAGAUAUGGGAAGCAGGACCCCGAUCUUGGCUUUGCCAUCUGUAAACUCUGAGAGGUCCCCUAGCCUCCUCUGACGAGGUUCCUUCAUCCUGGUCACAUGGUGGGACCAGGUGAUCACUCAUGCGCCUCUUCAACCAGGUUAUGACACUAUUCAAUAGGGACAAUGACAAGUGUUGUGAGGCCCUGACCAGGUGGCUCAGGCGUUGGGAGAGUCUUCCGGUACACCUAAAGGUGGUGGGUUCAAUCCCCGGUCAGGGUGCAUACGGAUGCUUCUCUCUCACAUCUCUCCCAGCAGAGAUCGCAUGGCUGAAAGACACUGGUGUUAUUCCCAUUUUAUAGCUAAGGAAACCAAGGCUCAGAUAGAAUAACUGACCAAGGUCACAAGAACUAGUAAGUGCUGGCUACAGCUGAGAUGUGACCCUGAGAAAAGUAUAAGAUGUCAAGGCUCACUGUCUUAACGAUUUCUGUGUAUAAGUUCCCCUACUGUUUGAAUCCCAGUUGAAAAGCUUACAGAAUGCUUCACUGUUAUUCAUUGUGACAAACCCCGCCCAUGUAUGGUAACCUGACUUCCCAGAUGUGGAGGAAGCUGACCAAGUGAGUCAGAGCCCUGGCUUCAGCCCUGGCUCCUAGGGUCACUGGCAGAUAAGGACAGAGAUUUCUUCUGGACGGGAGAGAGUCACACUGAGGCAGAGAGUGAAGCUACUCAAAAAGAAGGAUUUGUCACAGCCCGUAUCUGAGAAAGCCUAUUCCAGGCAAAGUCCCAUUGGCAACCCCCGGAUUCAUACUACUGGUGCCCAGAGCAACCUUGUAAAACUUUUUUUAAACUUAUUGAUUCUAGAGAGAGAGGAAGGUUGGAGAGAGAGAGACAUCAAUUUGUUGUUCUGCUUAUUUAUGCAUUCAUUGUGUAAUUCUUGUAUGUGCCCUGACCGGUUAUCCAACCCACAACCUUGGCUUAUUGGGACGGUGUUCUAACCAACUGAGCUACCCGGCCAAAGCCCAGAGCAACUUUUUAAAACUCCCCAGGUGAUUUUAAUGAGUGGCCAGCAUUAAAAAUCACCGCUAGCCAUUCCCCUGACUUUCCCGUUCCCUGCUUCCUUGGCCGCACGUGAAAUGACAUCCAGACCCACCUGUGCUUUCUAAUUGCAGAUGAAGGGGGAAGCUGGACGUCAGCGCCAUGACGAGAGGCCGAAGCAGAACCGCUCUGGGGAUGAGAGAGGCCCACUGUGGACUGGAAACGGGAACUGGGAACCAGCUCUCGACCCAGCAAACUUCAGCACUACAUGCUUCUGUUUAUCGUCCCUCCACUUGGGCUGCUGGAGAGAGAAACCACCACAAUCCCUGGGAAAAAACACCUAAUCCUGAAUGUGAAAUUGAGGUUUUCAGUUUGACUUAGCUUGAUUUGAUUAAACUCAAAUGAACAAUUCCUAGCGAGUCUGGAGAAGUUCAUGAGAAGGGUCCUCUGAGUCCUAGAGAAGGAAUCAUUGCAAAAGCCCAGGCAACCCUUCUGAUGAGCUCAGGGUGACCUCGCAAUGAGCACCUGCGAGCUCGGGUGACCUCGCAAUGAGCACCUGCGAGCUCGGGUGACCUCGCAAUGAGCACCUGCGCUAAAGAACAAGUCCUUCUGGCCCUGUGGGCCCAGCCCUCGCGGAGGGAGAGGGCGAGGGAGCGCGAGGAAAGCUCACUUCCAGAGCUCACGUCCCUGAUGAGCACUAGCCCUUGAACUCUCUUCACUGGCCCUGGACAAUGACCUGUUUUGUUUGUUUGUUUUUUGGUCUUUUGAUCAAAGGUGGGAUGGGUAAGCGGAGAAGAAAUGAUUCGGUGCAGACUCAGCUUGCUCUGAAUGGAUCAAUCAAAACAAUCUGCUCCUUUAGAUCCAAAAGUCUGGAUGAAAACCAAGUGUCCUAUUCGACCCUCCCGCCCCCACAGCACCCCCUGACCCUUGGUGGGUGGCCCAGCUCGCACAGUGCCGAUGAGCCCAGGUGCUCGGGGACCGGCUCCUCAGUUCUCCCCACGGAAGAUCUGAGCAGACGCCUCUGGGCUUAGCAGCAUGGCAUGUGGGGGAUGUCUGUAAUCCUGUCCUCGGUGCAGGAGAAACUGACUCACCUGGCGCCAGUGCUCCUCCUCUCCAAGUCUGGGACCCUCUUGUGUGCGCAUCAGGCUUGCCACGAUCCCCGCGUUGGGCUCUUGAGGACCCAGUGGCUGCCAGUGGUGUGCUCUUUGCCCCUAGAACUGCCCAUUGUCCUGUCCAGCUGGCAACCUUGGCUAGGCUUGCUGGAAGGAUGAGGGGUUAAGAGUCAGAACGUAUGUUCACUUACUCUUUUCUUCCAGGGCAAGCGGGUGACGGGAUGGGAAACUAGGCCCUGGCACAGUGAAGUCCCGGUGUCCUCACGAAGGGUUCUGCAGGGCCUUCUGGGAUGACCCUCCUGGCCUGGGUAUUGGCUGGGGAGCGUUUAAAAACCUGGAGGCCCAGCCUCCACCCGGGAGGCUCUUGCGUAACUGGGUUGGGAGGGGCCUGGGAUUUUUAAAGGGCUCCCAGGUGACUCCCAUGCCUACAUAAUGGGCAUCUCUGUUCCACGGGAGGACUGGUGACAAAAGCCCACAGCUGCUGGAAGGCUCGCCUGCCUUCCUCUGGGUGACAGAAUCGCCUGCGAGUUUCUCUGCCGUCAGGAGGGACACAUCUGGGGCUCCAUGAGGAGGACCGCCUUCAUCCUGGGCUCCGGCCUUCUCUUGCUGGUGGCCGUCUGGAACUCCCUCACGUGGCAUCUUCAGAGAUUUUGGGGUGCUUCUGGCCACUUCUGGCAAGCCCAGUGGGAGAGGCUGCUGCUCACCUUCGAAGGGAAGGAGUGGGUCCUCUUCGUGACAG